AUACGUUCUUUACGCUCCAAGGCGCAAUAAAAAGGGCUUUGUGAAAACACUUUCACAUGAAGAAGCAAAUGCAGUCUAGGAUAGCCCUUUUUCUAUGCGUACCGUGUUUGAUGAGGUCGGUGUGAUAAAACUAUUUUCCCCUAGCUAAUUUGAUGAAAUGAGUUUUUUCCACAUGAUCAUUACGAAGCUAAUGGAUAAAGCUUGUAAACGGCAAGUUCCCAUGGAAACCACGGAUCAACUUAGGCAAAUGGCAUUUUGCUAAUAACGUGCACGAAACAAGGGCUAACACCAUUUACAGCUUUAAACGUAACCUUUCCAUUUUUGUUGUAGUGAUGGAUAGGUUUGUUCGAAAUCUCAAGUCUUGUGCAUUAUAGUGACAUCUCAAGUAGUGGAAUUUAUGUAUGGAUGGCAGCUCGUAAACAAAACAGGUCAUUCUAGAAGAACAAACAGUCUUUCAGAUUGAAUUAAUGAAUGUCUGGCUCUGCUCCUACCGAGCGCUUAUUGGUACCAUAUCAAUCUUGUGGACGUGAAAAAUCAAAUUCUCAUUCCUUUUGGCAGAAGACUAAAGGCGAGAGAAGUUCAUGAACAUGACUUCGUGUGAGAAAAUCUCCAGACUUAGUGAAGCACACGAAAUGACACUUAACAAUUUAGCUAUUGCACAAUUCCACAUUCAGAAACUACGAGACGAGAUUUUACGACUGGAUUAUUCAAUAGCACAAUCAAACGUGCGCCAACAAAGCCUGAACUGUGAAGCUAAAAAGUUACACCAGCAGGCACACGAAUUGGAUAGAAAAUGCAUACUUGCAUCCGUUGAAUUAAAAGGUUGGUCUAUGGUCUUCAGUAGAAUACAACGUGCAACAAGAAAAUAAGUUGGAAACAUAAGAGGGAGCGCAAUGCCUUGCGCUUGCUGUUGCGCAUGCGUCAAAGUCUCAAAAA